CCCAGUGUUGCGNUGGCUGUGAGGCAGACCCGUGUGAUAGCUCAUAUGCUUGUUAGUCUAAAGACAAAUAAUCCGUCUCAAGAAGAGAAGGGAAGAGACUGUGUUGAGUAAUUGAAGUGGCAUUGUUUAAAGUAAGGAAUCCGGUGUUAGAAGGGAGAAAGAGCCUAUCUGUUUGUGGAAAUGGCUGCCCAUACUGCUCCAGUUUUACAGCAGCAAUUUGAAAAGCUGAAUGACCGCAAUUACCUCAUCUGGUCAGAACGUAUGAAAGCUGUUUUAAUUACAGAGGAUCUUUAUGAUGCCUGUCUUGCUUUGCCAGCUGUUGAUAGUGCUGAUGAAAGGCAAAGAGACAGAAAAGCUCGUGCGACGCUUAUUCUUGGUUUAGAAAGCUCGCAAUUGAUGGCUGUAAGGCAUAUAGAAAAUGCUAAAGAAGUUUGGGACACUCUACGGCAAAUUUAUCAGCGUAUUUCUGCUGGAAGCAAGAUGCUGUUAACCAGAAAGUUAUAUAACCUAAAAUUGAAACCAGAUGGCUGUUUAAAUAGCUAUAUAAAUGAGAUGAGAAUGAUUUUUGCUGAUUUAGCUGACAGAGGUCUGCAGUAUGAAGAGGCUCACUGUGCUUACAUACUAUUGUCUUCAUUACCUAAAACUUAUGAUGCAGUUGUAGACUCUUUUCAAGGAAUUGAUGAAGACAGAUUAAAUUUUUCCUUAGUAGUCACACGUUUGCAGGAGUGGACUGAGCAAAGGAAACUAACACGACGAGAAGAAGUUACGUCAGACAAGGCAAUAAACAUUAAAUCUGAACCUUUGAGUGCCUUGGCAGUGAAAAAGUGCCACUUCUGUCACAGGAAAGGACAUCUUAUUAAAGACAGUUGGAAACGUAAACAACAAGCGUCCAGUUCUCGUCAGCAAGAGAGCAGUAAGCAGUAUGCUGACAGUUAUACUGCUUCUGAUAAGCGACACAACAGUUCGACUGCUUUGCUAAUGGCAGUCAGUAAGAAGAAUUCGGCCAAUCCCGUGUGGUACGUGGACAGCGGAAGCUGUGAACAUUUUUCAUCCAGAAGGGACAAUUUAACUGACAUUCACCAGAUUGAGGCGAGAGAUGUAAAGCUAGCUGAU
rnacentral:lncRNA from 1 species